CCAAUAGCGUAUAUUAAAGUUGUUGCAGUUAAAAAGCUCGUAGUUGAAUUUCGGGGUCAGUAGGUCGGUCGUGCCACUGGUAUGAACUGGUUUUACUGAUUCCUCCCUCUUGAAGAACUGUAAUGCCAUUAAUUUGGUGUUGCAGGGAAUCAGGACUGUUACUUUGAAAAAAUUAGAGUGUUUAAAGCAGGCUUUAGCUUGAAUACAUUAGCAUGGAAUAAUGAAAUAGGACGUUUGAUCCUAUUUUGUUGGUUUCUAGGAUUGACGUAAUGGUUAAUAGGGAUAGUUGGUGGCAUUUGUAUUCAAUUGUCAGAGGUGAAAUUCUUGGAUUUAUUGAAGACUAACUACUGCGAAAGCAUUUGCAAAGGAUGUUUUCAUUAAUCAAGAACGAAAGUUAGGGGAUCGAAGACGAUCAGAUACCGUCGUAGUCUUAACCAUAAACUAUGCCGACUAGGGAUCGGAUGAUGUUAAUUUUUUAAUGACUCAUUCGGCGCCUUACG
rnacentral:rRNA from 1 species